UUAAACUACACACAAAACAGCUGAGAUAAGCGCAGUAACAUUUAACAAAGUUAGCUUAAUGGCUAUAUUUAGUUUGACAGCAGGAAUAGGGAGCAGAAAGCUUAAGCUCGGCUAUAUAAUCAGCUUUCCCUCGGUCGCAUUGUGUUUUCCACCGUAUGGCCUUGCUUUUGCUGGCUUUAGCGGUGAAACACGGUAGUAUGAUAAUACUUGGGGGGGAAAGAAAAAGCGGAAACGGUUGCGAAAACUUCCUUCAAACUGAAGAUGUGCUGGUUGCUGAGCCUGCAUUGAACCAGGUGAUCGGACCAGCUGGGGUGGUUAGUCGGCUCUCAGCAGCUCUCCAGCAAAUCCUAUUAUUCAUUCAUUUAUUUUUGUAAAUAAAAAAUUUAAGGGAGAAUAAAGACUCCGGGAAGCCCCCGACUUUCUGACACAAUGUCUCAGUUUUGGACAAACUUGAAUCGGAAAUAUGCGUUCAGCACCGAAAGAGUAUCUGGAGUCAUGGAAAACCCUGGUUAUCGCUCAGGCAGCUUUGACGACCUUCAUCAUCCCAGUGAUGAUGACGAUGAUGAUGAGAUGGUGGACAUAGCAGGAGCCACAUUGGACUUUUCCACCACAGACGACGUCCCUCCUCUCAACUCAGGAAGCUACGAGGAGCACAGCAGCAGCAGCAGAGCAGCCGGUAUGAACGGCAGCGGCCCCAGCAAGCUUGUAGACCCCCUGGAGGACCCACUACCCGGAGUGGGCACCUAUGAAGACUUCAACACCAUCGACUGGGUCAGAGAGAAGAGCAAGGACCGGGACAGACACAGAGAGAUCACCAAGAAGAGCCGACAGUCGACCGUGGCCCUGCUGCACAGCGUCAGCGACGCCUUCUCUGGGUGGCUGCUCAUGCUGCUGGUGGGACUCAUGUCAGGCGCUCUAGCCGGUGGUAUCGACAUUGCAGCUCAUUGGCUGACGGACCUGAAAGAAGGUGUGUGUCUCAUCGGCUUCUGGUUCAACCACGAACACUGCUGCUGGACGUCCAAUGAGACGACAUUCCAGGAGAGGGACCGGUGUCCACAGUGGCAGAGCUGGGCUGAGCUCAUAACAGGAACUUCAGAGGGUGCGUUCGCCUACAUAGUCAGCUACAUGAUGUACAUAUUGUGGGCUUUGCUCUUCGCUUUCUUGGCGGUCAUGCUGGUCAGGGCCUUCGCUCCGUAUGCAUGUGGCUCAGGAAUACCAGAGAUUAAAACCAUCCUCAGCGGCUUCAUCAUCCGAGGCUACCUGGGAAAGUGGACUCUGAUCAUCAAAACCAUCACCCUGGUUUUGGCCGUUUCCUCUGGGCUCAGUUUAGGGAAGGAGGGCCCUCUGGUCCACGUGGCCUGCUGCUGCGCCAACAUCCUCUGUCAUCUGUUCACCAAGUACCGCAAGAACGAGGCCAAGAGGCGAGAGGUUUUAUCGGCGGCGGCAGCGGUGGGAGUGUCGGUGGCUUUUGGUGCUCCUAUUGGAGGGGUCCUGUUCAGCCUGGAGGAGGUGAGUUAUUACUUCCCCCUAAAGACCCUGUGGCGAUCCUUCUUUGCUGCCCUGGUGGCAGCCUUUACUCUCCGCUCCAUCAACCCGUUUGGAAACAGCCGCCUGGUGCUCUUCUACGUGGAGUUUCAUGCACCGUGGCACCUGGUGGAGUUGGCCCCUUUCAUCCUGUUGGGGAUCUUUGGAGGCCUCUGGGGGGCGCUGUUCAUCAAGGCCAACAUCGCCUGGUGCAGGAUGCGUAAAUCCACCCGCCUCGGUCACUACCCCGUCAUGGAGGUGCUGGUGGUAGCGGCGCUGACCGCCGUCAUCGCCUACCCAAACAGUUACACCAGGAUGAGUGGAGCAGAGCUCAUUUCAGAGCUCUUCAACGACUGCUCGCUGUUGGACUCCUCUCAGCUCUGCGGCUACAAACAGCCAGUCAACAUAUCAGAAACAGGUGCAGGAAACAGCCUGGCAGACCGGCCGGCAGGACAAGGCCUCUACACGGCUCUGUGGCAGCUGGCUUUAGCCCUGAUCUUCAAAAUACUCAUCACUGUGAUCACGUUUGGCAUGAAGGUUCCUUCUGGUCUCUUCAUCCCCAGCAUGGCGGUCGGAGCCAUAGCCGGCAGAUUGUUGGGUGUCGGCAUGGAGCAGCUGGCCUACUACAACCACGACUGGCUCAUCUUCAAAGGGUGGUGCACCCCAGGGGCAGACUGCAUCACUCCGGGGCUUUACGCCAUGGUUGGAGCUGCUGCUUGCCUGGGUGGAGUAACUCGUAUGACUGUGUCGCUGGUUGUCAUCAUGUUCGAGCUGACUGGCGGUCUGGAGUACAUCGUCCCUCUCAUGGCUGCAACCAUGACCAGCAAAUGGGUGGCAGAUGCUUUUGGAAGGGAGGGAAUUUAUGAGGCUCACAUUAGGCUGAACGGUUACCCGUUCCUGGAGCCAAAAGAAGAGUUUGAGCACAGCAGCCUGGCUGUGGACGUGAUGAGGCCGAGGCGGGGGGACCCCACGCUGGCUGUGCUCACGCAGGACAGCAUGACCGUAGGAGAGGUGGAGACGUUGGUUGAGAGCACUCACUACAGCGGCUUCCCCGUGGUCGUCUCCCAGGAGUCCCAGAGGCUUGUGGGAUUUGUACUCAGAAGAGACCUGCUCAUAUCAAUAGACAACGCCCGUAAGCGUCAGGAAGGCAUCGUCAGCGCUUCCCUGGUGGUCUUCACCGAACACAACCCCUCCCAGCCCCCUGAAGCACCGCCUCCCCUCCGCCUCCGAGGCAUCAUGGACCUGAGCCCCUUUACAGUCACUGACCACACGCCCAUGGACAUCACCGUGGAUAUUUUCAGGAAACUGGGGCUGCGCCAGUGUCUGGUUACACAUAACGGGAGGCUGCUGGGAAUCAUCACCAAAAAGGAUAUACUGAAACACAUGGCACAGAUAGCCAACAGAGACCCGGACUCCAUCCUCUUCAACUGAACUCCUCUCAUCCUUGUUUCUGUAGAACACACCAGCUUGUACACUUAAAACACACCAUUACCUCUUCGUUUCUUGAGAUAAUGGAGCGAAUCGGCCUUCAUUUGCAUCAGCAAAUUGUGGGAGAUGCAAGUUUUUUUUUUUUUUGUUUAUUAUUCUCUCUCAUAUUCCCCCGUCUCACUCCUCUGCUACACCUGAGACUAAAGGGGAUGUGGGGGGAGAUAAUCCCUCCAGUAACAGACACUGAAAAGAGGAGACGAGGUAGCUCGCAUGCCCUCCGGCCUUCACGGCGAGCCCAGACAGAACACGCUCAGCUCAGCCGGUGGACGCUUUUGACACCUUCCUCCUCCUGCGAGGAUUCCUGUUGCCCUCGGGUUGUUGAGGGAUACAGGAUGUGAGAAGAGGAUCGCAUACUUUCAUACUUACACUCCAUGACAGCCUGGGAACUCUCCGGAAAGACUUGUCUUAUAGUUGCUUGAGACUGUGAUAGCCUGGGAACUAUGCAGGCUUGUCCUGCCACACACACUCAGACUGGCUGUAAGACGGAAACACUCUCAUACAAAAAGAAAAAAAAGAUUCGCACACGAGUAGCUGCAAAAGCCACAUCAUGCCUUAUGGAAGGAAGCUUGGAGUAUUUCUGCAAGACAGAAUCAUGACACAUUAGAUGAUUUAUGUGGACAGAAGUGGGCCUAAAGAAAUUCCCUAAUGACAUCAGGGGGUAUGGUUUCUUGCACUUGUUAUCUCAGACGUUAUAUCAGCACCGGUUUCUACGCAGACCCGAUCCUCUCCCAUGUGCAGAAUAAUAUUAUUCCGAAGUAUUUUUAACUCUUUAAAGCUCCAGCGGGUCUGUUUGUCUGGACUUGGUGUGCUAACUCCUGAAACAUUUGCAGCUCGGGACUCGUAAAAGUUUCUCCUCCAUCCCCAAAUGUUUUAUUUAUCCACGUGUUGAUUUUUAUUUAGCUGUUUUUCAGUGUGUCGAAGCUCGGAGCUGCCAGUAAAAACAUUCAAGGGGGAAGGUGAUGUUAUGAAUUUCAGAAAGCCUUAGAUCUCUUAAGAGAUGUAAAAGUCAGCUUGGCACAGAAAGAUGGAGGGUCCUGGGAGCCAGCGUUUGUUCACGAGACGUGCACUGAUGAUGGUCACCUGAAUGCAGCUCCUGUCAUCACUCCUGUAAACUUACGUCCAUAUAAUUCAAAAUAAACCUUUAAAACUGCAUGGAUGGAUUUAAAGGCUGCUUGUGUUUCACAGUUAAAAGUUUGACUGAUGUCAUUGUAAUAAA